GAUUGUAGUCUGCAACUCGACUACAUGAAGCUGGAAUCGCUAGUAAUCGCGGAUCAGAAUGCCGCGGUGAAUACGUUCCCGGGUCUUGUACACACCGCCCGUCACACCAUGGGAGUCGGGAAUGCCCGAAGCCAGUGACCCAACCUUAGGGAGGGAGCUGUCGAAGGUGGAGCCGGUAACUGGGGUGAAGUCGUAACAAGGUACC
rnacentral:rRNA from 1 species